GGACGAUGAAGAAAUUAUGUAAGGUCUCGUUCAUCGUAAGUGCGAUUUUCUUCGCCUUGCCGACCAUUCUGUUAUAUCACCACCCAUAAACAGAGUCC